UCCCGUGGUCCACAGUGGGGUCACGCCGCGCACAGGUGCGGGCUCAGGAGGGCUCCUGCCUCCGAGACAUCGGGCCCUGGGCUCUGAGAGGCCGAGGCCCGGGACGCUCUUGGCUCCAGGCCGGGAGCCUGUGAGCACCCGUGUGAGGAGCGACCUCCCUCAAAACCGAGGCUCGCUGAGAAUGGGUCAGGAAAGAACACACAGCCCUGUCCUUGUCCCUUUGAGGAAAAGGACAAGUGGGACGCGUCCCUGCUCCUGUGGGGCAGCACCAGCGGGCAGUGAUGGAGAAGCUCAGGAACCGGGCAGCAGGCAGUGACCUGGCCACCGCAUCGCAAGCAUUCACACCGCCAAAGACAGAUGGAAGACUGCAGUAGUCCCCUGAGGCCUGCCUCUGGGGCCCUGUGAACGAGAGCUAGCUGCCCUCCCCAGCAAGACCCUGAUCCCCAACACAUCACACGUGGACCACUGCAAGGACACUCCGGCUGUGACAGAGUUAGACAAGCUGUCUACUGACACACAUCUG